rnacentral:rRNA from 1 species
UACGGGGGGGGGCAAGCGUUGUUCGGAAUUACUGGGCGUAAAGGGCUCGUAGGUGCCAACUAAGUCGGGACGUGAAAUCCCCUCGGCUUAACCGGGGGAACUGCGUCCGAUACUGGUUGGCUUGAGUUUGGGAGAGGGAUGCGGAAUUCCAGGUGUAGCGGUGAAAUGCGUAGAUAUCAAGCGGAACACCGGUGGCGAAGGCGGCUCUG